GCUAAACGCGAAGAACCUUACCUGGGCUUGAACUGCAGGGAUAGCUGCCUGAAAGGGUCAGUGAUCCCCUUCGGGGGAACCUGUAGAGGUGCUGCAUGGCUGUCGUCAGCUCGUGUCGUGAGAUGUUGGGUUAAGUCCCGCAACGAGCGCAACCCUUGUGACUAGUUGCCAGCGGGUCAUGCCGGGAACUCUAGUCAGACUGCCCAGAUCAACUGGGAGGAAGGUGGGGACGACGUCAGGUCAGUAUGGCCCUUACGCCUUGGGCUGCACACGUACUACAAUGCCCAGCACAAUGAGAACCGAGACCGCGAGGUGGAGGAAAUCUAAAAAACUGGGCCCAGUUCGGAUUGGAGGCUGCAACUCGCCUCCAUGAAGUUGGAAUCGCUAGUAAUGGCGCAUCAGCUACGGCGCCGUGAAUACGUUCCCGGGUCUUGUACACACCG
rnacentral:rRNA from 1 species